rnacentral:rRNA from 1 species
UACGAAGGGGGCUAGCGUUGCUCGGAAUCACUGGGCGUAAAGGGUGCGUAGGCGGGUCUUUAAGUCAGGGGUGAAAUCCUGGAGCUCAACUCCAGAACUGCCUUUGAUACUGAAGAUCUUGAGUUCGGGAGAGGUGAGUGGAACUGCGAGUGUAGAGGUGAAAUUCGUAGAUAUUCGCAAGAACACCAGUGGCGAAGGCGGCUCACUGGACCGGUUCUGACGCUGAGGCGCGAAAGCGUGGGGAGCGAACAGG